rnacentral:lncRNA from 1 species
AAUGCUUUCCUAAGCUCCAAGCGAACAACAAAUUAAAUGUAAAAAACGAAAAAAGAAAUUACUGCUAGCAGUAGAGCUAUAAGGAAUCGAACCUUCUAUUCUAUUGCGCUCUCAAUUCAACAGGUGGAAGGUCAAUAAUCCUACAAAAUUUUGUUGAAGUACAUGCAUUCAAUUAUGGUUUUAUUGGGAGAUGAGGAGAGAACGGUUUUGGAAGAUGAUGGGUUUUGGAGGUUGGGAGAUAAGAGGGAAUAGUUUUGGUGCAAUUAUAUGCAUUCAAUUGUGAUUUUAUUGGGAGAUAAGGAGGGAACGGUUUUGAAGAUGAGGGGUUUUGGAGGUUGGGAGAUGAAAGAGAGCAGUUUUGAAAGAAGGAGGUAACUCCAUGUCUGCAAGAUAUUGGGGAUUCAUAGAUUAGUAUAGAUGAAUAAUAUUACUAAUUUAUACAUAAAAUUAGCAACAUUAAUUAUAAAAAUAAAAAUAUCAAUCACAAUUUGAAGCAAAAUUCAAAAAUUUCAAAUACAUGAGAAAUAAGAGCACCAAUUUAUUUGUAUUUUGGACUUUUUUUUGUAAAUAUAUUAUUU